UACGUAUGGAGCAAGCGUUAUCCGGAUUUACUGGGUGUGAAGGGAGCGUAGACGGUGUGCCAAGUCUGAUGUGAAAGGUGAGGGCUCAACCCUUAAACUGCAUUGGAAACUGGUGUACUUGAGUGUCGGAGAGGUAAGUGGAAUUCCUAGUGUAGCGGUGAAAUGCGUAGAUAUUAGGAGGAACACCAGCGGCGACGGCGGCCUACUGGACGGUAACUGACGUUGAGGCUCGAAGGCGUGGGGAGCAAAC
rnacentral:rRNA from 1 species